UACUUUAUUAUAUUGGUUUGUCUUUUUGAUGAACUGUAUGAUGGGUUUCUUCCUACUAGAGUUCGAUUCUGUUCUUAACUGAAUGGAGUAGCUAUCUUUCGGGGUGGUCAGUUGGUUGUUAUAUCUCCACUAAUGAGCAGAGAGGGGUUAAACCUUCAAAGUGAGUUAUGUGGGUCAAGGUAUAAUGAUUAAUUGGAGUUCUAGUUCAUUUACUUUGAGAAAAUUAGAGUGUUUAAAGCAGCCUCUUGGGGCACUGAAUACAUUAGCAUGGGAUAAUAAAAUAGGAUCUUCACAAUAUAUUUUAUUGGCUUAAAUUGGAUAUGAAGAUAAUGAUUAAUAGGGACAGUUGGGGGUAUUCAUAUUGGGUGGUUAGCGGUGAAAUGCUCGGAUCCAUUCAAGAUGAACUAAAGCGAAAGCAUUUACCAAGGAUGUUUUCAUUAAUCAAGAACGAAAGUUAAGGGGAUCGAAGACGAUUAGAUACCGUCGUAGUCUUAACUAUAAACUAUGCCGACCAGGG
rnacentral:rRNA from 1 species